GAGGAAGUAAGGCCCAGGAGACAUGAUUCUGCUUGAACAAACAUGGAAGAAAUUUCUUUUUGACACUGACCCUUUUACAUAUUGUCCUUGCAGCAGACAUCCCCCCAUCCCCAGGAAAUAUCCCUACCACCCAUCCACUGAUGGUGCGCCAUGCAGACCACAGUUCUCUGACACUGGGCAGUGGCUCUUCAACAACUCGUCUCACCCAGGGCAUCGGGCGCAGUCAGAGGACCCUAAGGCAGCUGACGGCCAAUACUGGCCACACCAUUCAUGUUCACUACCCUGGGAAUCGCCA
rnacentral:lncRNA from 1 species